CUUGACCGAGCCGAGCAGCAGCGGGCCGCCGUCGCCCCGGUCCUGCCCGUAGGUGGCCAGCAGCGCCUGCGCCUC
rnacentral:antisense_RNA from 1 species